CAAGUGUGUUCUACUCAUCAUACAAGUCCUGUGUGAGUACACAGAGAGCUGAACCUCACCAGAGGAUGGAGAGGGAGCCUGUGAUGGCAUAUUGGCUGUAAAGAAAAAAAGAUUAUGCAGUGAAAGAAUCCAAACUCAGACAAAAGAAUGCAGAAAAGAAGAAACAUGGGUGCCUUUGGAUUAUUCAGAAACUGAACAGACCUGGCAUGAUGCAGCAUUCCUGCCCUGCUUAUAAUGACUGGCAUCCAGAGAAACACACAGGACCUGGACUGGGUACCGUGAACUCCUAGGUGUGUGAGUCAAAUCAGAAACAGACAUUUGACACAUAAAAAGGAAAAAGACAUGGAAGCUGAGCAUUACAUCAAGG
rnacentral:lncRNA from 1 species